AUUGUUCUCUCAAUACUGGAGCCUCUUAAAUGGAAAAGCCAAUGCUCGCUGCUAAUUUAUCUCUGUGGACUCUCUUCCUAAAGCCCCCAUUGGUUUCAACUUGUCUGUCAUUCUUCCUUUCUUUAUUCUUUUUUAAAUAAUUUUGUGCGUGUGGACCAUGGUGCAUGGGUGAAGGUCAGAGGAACUAGCCAGAGUUCGUUCUUUCCUUCUACCUUGUAGGUCCUGGGGAUUGAACUCGGGUCCUCAGGCUUGAAGGCAGGCACCUUUCCCUGCCUAGCCAGCUCACUGCCCCCUUCUCUUUCAUUCCUCAUGAGAAGCCAUUGAAAUGGAGGGAGGGAAGGAGCCAUCACUCAAGCAGAGCUUACUGUGUGAGGAGAUUCCAUUCAAAUUGCUCUGUAGCAGCGAGGCCAUUGAAAUAAGUUAAUCAAUAGAAGUUCUCAGGCAUCGCACACGCUGGCUAUCUCCCCUAUGUUAGUAAUUGCUAAGUAAAUCAAGUCUCAAAAAUGUUAAAUAUAAAAGGGAAAGGAACUGCAGAUUAAAUAAGACCAAAGAGUAAGUUGUCAUCCGAAGGGAGUUACUAGGACAUGAAUGUCAGGAACAUUUAAGUGUGUACAGAAGGAAUAUGAGUUGUCCUGUUAGGAAAGUGUUUUAUAUGUAUAUCGCACACAGACCCACAUAUAUCCCGUAUAUUUGCAUGCUGUAUACCUAUUUGGAUAUAAAUACAUUUUAAAGGUGUAUUAUGAAUUUCUAGGUAAGUGGUUUGGGUCUUAAGCAUUGGUUCCGGAUGCAGCAUCGUCCAGAGGCAGGCUUGGGAUGGCUCUGACCUCAGGAGUGAGCUCAUCUGCCCGCAGAUUCAUAGCUUGAUGAGCCUCACAGGAAAACCUCUGUGAGGAGAGCGAGCGAGCUCUUGGCUUCCUGACCACCAUGAAGGGAGCAGUUUUCCUCUACAAGGACCUCCCUGCCAUGAGCCCACAAGGACCCCCAGUUCCUCACAGGCUGAAACCCUGAGAAAACCCAACAGCCCAACAGCCCGCAGCAUGAGGCAGAGUGCACCUGCCCGUCUUUGGAUGCCCCUUGUUAUAUAUAUUUAAGCAACAAAGAGCUAACAGAGCAUUUCUACUCAUUCACACCUGAGGGGACAUUUCCGAUGUGGUGGUCAUCCUAAGUGCGCCACAAUGCCUCAAGUGUGGGGAAGAAUGGCCUUUGAUUUGUCUGAAAAUGUUUCACCUGUUUAUACCACAUCCGUUCCUCAAAGCAAGCCAUUGUUACCAAAGAUCUGUGAUUCCAAAGUAGAAAUUUUGAUCCAUUGAGUGUGAAGAAGAAGAAGAAGAAGAAGAAGAAGAAGAAAAAGAAGAAGAUAAACCCUUUACAACCAGAAAAAUAUACAAAUGUGGUGGCACAUUAAAUAAGCCAGACAAUCGAGGGCUGUUGUUACUGUAAAUCCACAAACAUUUCUGUUUGUUGUUUUGUUUUGUUUUGUUUUGAGGUUGAUUCUUCCUUUGUCAGGCUGGCUGUCCUAAAACCACAUUGUGGACCAGUCUAGUCUGAAGCCCUCAGAUCUGCUUGCCUUCCCCCACUCCCCACCCCCGCCUCCUCAGUGCAGGGAUGAUGGGAAGGCCUGCGCCCCCAUGCAGAAGCAUUCUAAUACCUCGAGAAUCCAGUAUGCACUGCAUGAUCCCAGACCCAGAUUCAUGAGAAAAAGUCAUCUGAUGAUGAGCCAGAGAGCUGUUAGUUGACUUUCCCAAAGGUUGGAACGUUCAACGGGUGGCUGUGUGCUACGGUGGCUCGUUAAGUUCAGUGUUCAUUAAUGGACUUGCAAUGGCGUUCCUCUCCCCUUUUGUCUCACCCUGCCGUUCUCUGAGUAGUUUCUCCCACGCUGUUCCCCUGUUCCUGACGACAGCAUGUAGAGUGCACAAUGGCCCACUCUUCACUUUGAUGAAGAAUGGUUUGGGGGAACUGUGGAGCAGAAAGCCUAAGGAAUUAGGUCAGUGUUGUUGUCCAGUGGGAAGCUGAAGGUGUCCACCAAGUGCACUCUCAUUACACAACACUUGACAGCAAGAAAUACCUCAUCUCUAAAAAUAAAGACAUGGACUGAGACUUUCGGGGUGUUUUCCCCUCUCACCAGAGCACUGGUUCCCGAGUCACCUCACUUAUGUUCCCCACACUCACCUGAUAGCAAUUACAUCUUUCUUUUCAUCCGAUUCAAGAACUCAUAGGGAUUUCUUCAGAGCAAAGGGUAAGGUUGGGUGGGGGGCAGCGCUCCAAGGAAUUUUACAAGCUUGCAGAAUUUGCAAGGUCAUUUAGAGAAAUAAAAUGACCCAAGCUCCAGCCU
rnacentral:lncRNA from 1 species